GACGUAGGAUGCGAGCGUUGUCCGGAUUCAUUGGGCGUAAAGAGCACGCAGGCGGUUUUGCAAGUCGGACGUGAAAAUCCGGGGCUCAACCCCGGACCUGCAUCCGAAACUGCCCGACUAGAGGUAGGUAGGGGAGAUCGGAAUUCCUGGUGUAGCGGUGAAAUGCGCAGAUAUCAGGAGGAACACCGGUGGCGAAGGCGGAUCUCUGGGCCUGACCUGACGCUCAGGUGCGAAAGCUAGGGGAGCGAACAGG
rnacentral:rRNA from 1 species